CACGGGAAACGAAAGGCCAAGCUCUCCCCGGAGCCCUGCCCCACUGCAGAAACCGGGGAAGGAAACAAACCAUCGCUCCCGAAGUGAGCUGGUGCCAUCUACAAGCAAGGAAAACACCAAGCAACGAAUUGACCGUAAAGAGGAACAAUGAAACUGACUCUAUCAAGCCCUGUAAAACGCCGCGUGACAAGGUAACCCCCAGAGACCUCCAUCAGGGCCCCGUGGGGGUAGGUGCUGGACAGAGCACACGUCCUGCCUUGCCUUGGAAAUCUUGCAGGACCAGACGCUCAGUUAAAAGGAAGGAAUUCACAUGCAAGCAACCAAACCCCAUGCAGGCAAGAGUGACACCCAGUUUAGUGUGCAGUAUUAAGCCUCUCACUUUCUCAUAGGUCUGUGCCUGUGACUCAACACUUUAUAAAUACCGAGGUAGAGAGAGGGAACUGGGAUUAGCUGUUUUGCAGAUGACUUCAGACCUUUGUAAUAAAAACACGCGGACAUUUCAGACAAUGCCAGCUACCAGGGAAUCUAUAGCGUAAUCCCCAGGAGCAAUGAAACCCUAACACAGCUGUCAAUGAAUACUGGCUCUCCUACGCAAUAUUAUCCGAGGGAGAAUUGUCCAGGAGAGCCUUGUAGGAUUGGUCCCUGAAGUUUUGAGGGACUGUAUACGCUCCCCUGGGA